ACAACAAUCGGAUCAUCGGUCUACCGAGUAAUAUCACCCGCUCGGUGCUAGAUUUUCAUUUAGUCGU
rnacentral:pre_miRNA from 1 species